GGGUGAGUAAUGCAUAGAUAAUGUGCCCCUUAGUUCGGGAUAGCCACUGGAAACGGUGAUUAAUACCGGAUACUCCUUCUUGUUAUAAGACAAGUCGGGAAAGUUUUUCGCUAAGGGAUCAGUCUAUGUUCCAUCAGCUUGUUGGUGAGGUAAUGGCUCACCAAGGCUAUGACGGAUAUCUGGUUUGAGAGGAUGAUCAGACACACUGGAACUGAGACACGGUCCAGACUCCUACGGGAGGCAGCAGUGAGGAAUAUUGCACAAUGGAGGAAACUCUGAUGCAGCAACGCCGCGUGGAGGAUGACGCAUUUCGGUGUGUAAACUCCUUUUAUUAGGGAAGAUAAUGACGGUACCUAAUGAAUAAGCACCGGCUAACUCCGUGCCAGCAGCCGCGGUAAUACGGAGGGUGCAAGCGUUACUCGGAAUCACUGGGCGUAAAGGGUGCGUAGGCUGGCUUUUAAGUCAGAUGUGAAAUCCAAUGGCUCAACCAUUGAACUGCAUUUGAAACUGAAAGCCUAGAGUUCAGAAGGGGCAGAUGGAAUUAGUGGUGUAGGGGUAAAAUCCGUAGA
rnacentral:rRNA from 1 species